GACGAACGCUGGCGGCGUGCUUAACACAUGCAAGUCGAGCGGAGCGGCGAACGGGUGAGUAACGCGGGAGUAACUGCCCCCCUCUCUGGGAGAACAGUUGGAAACGGCUGCUAAUACCGGAUAGUGGGGGAUGACUCGCGUCCGAUCAGCUUGUUGGUGGGGUAGUGGCCUACCAAGGCGACGACGGGUAGCCGGACAGAGAGGGCGACCGGCCACAUUGGGCUGGGAUACGGCGCAGUCUCCUACGUGAGGCAGCAGUGGUGAAUAUUGCUCACUGGUGGAAACCCUGAUUCAGCAACGCCGCGUGCGGGAUGCCGUCCUACGGGUUGUAAACCGCUUUCAGCCAUGACGCGGUAGUGGCAGAAGAAGCACCGGCGAACUACGUGCCAGCAGCCGCGGUAAUAC
rnacentral:rRNA from 1 species